rnacentral:rRNA from 1 species
GAUGAACGCUGGCGGCGUGCCUAAUACAUGCAAGUCGAGCGAACAGACGAGGAGCUUGCUCCUCUGACGUUAGCGGCGGACGGGUGAGUAACACGUGGAUAACCUACCUAUAAGACUGGGAUAACUUCGGGAAACCGGAGCUAAUACCGGAUAAUAUAUUGAACCGCAUGGUUCAAUAGUGAAAGACGGUUUUGCUGUCACUUAUAGAUGGAUCCGCGCCGCAUUAGCUAGUUGGUAAGGUAACGGCUUACCAAGGCAACGAUGCGUAGCCGACCUGAGAGGGUGGUCGGCCACACUGGAACUGAGACACGGUCCAGACUCCUACGGGAGGCAGCAGUAGGGAAUCUUCCGCAAUGGGCGAAAGCCUGACGGAGCAACGCCGCGUUAGUGAUGAAGGUCUUCGGAUCGUAAAACUCUGUUAUUAGGGAAGAACAAAUGUGUAAGUAACUAUGCACGUCUUGACGGUACCUAAUCAGAAAGCCACGGCUAACUACGUG